UACGUAGGGUGCGAGCGUUAAUCGGAAUUACUGGGCGUAAAGCGUGCGCAGGCGGUUAUAUAAGACAGAUGUGAAAUCCCCGGGCUCAACCUGGGAACUGCAUUAGUGACUGUAUAGCUAGAGUGCGGCAGAGGGGAGUGGAAUUCCGCGUGUAGCAGUGAAAUGCGUAGAUAUGCGGAGGAACACCGAUGGCGAAGGCAGCCCUCGUGGCCAGUACUGACGCUCAUGCACGAAAGCGUGGGGAGCAAACAGGA
rnacentral:rRNA from 1 species